CGGUACAACGAGUCGCAAGACCGCGAGGUUUAGCAAAUCUCUUAAAGCCGUUCUCAGUUCGGAUUGUAGGCUGCAACUCGCCUACAUGAAGUCGGAAUCGCUAGUAAUCGCGGAUCAGCAUGCCGCGGUGAAUACGUUCCCGGGCCUUGUACACACCGCCCGUCACACCAUGAGAGUUUGUAACACCCAAAGCCGGUGGGGUAACCUUUUGGAGCCAGCCGUCUAAGGUGGGACAGAUGAUUAGGGUGAAGUCGUAACAAGGUACC
rnacentral:rRNA from 1 species